UGCCAGCCGCCGCGGUAAUACGGAGGGUGCAAGCGUUAAUCGGAUUCAUUGGGCGUAAAGAGCACGUAGGCGGAGUGGAAAGUUAGAUGUGAAAUCCCGAAGCUCAACUUCGGACCCGCAUCUAAUACUACCAUUCUAGAGGAUGGACGGAGAAAAGGGAAUUCCACGUGUAGCGGUGAAAUGCGUAGAUAUGUGGAAGAACACCGGUGGCGAAGGCGCUUUUCUAGUUUAUUCCUGACGCUGAGGUGCGAAAGCGAGGGGAGCAAACAGGAUUAGAUA
rnacentral:rRNA from 1 species